rnacentral:tRNA from 1 species
GCCUUUGUGGUGUAAUGGUUAGCACGCUCGACGUGUAUUCAGGAGAUCCGUGAUUCGAGUCCCAGCGAAGGCA